rnacentral:misc_RNA from 1 species
GCAUAAACGAGAUAAAAUGAUACUCGAAUUCCCAAAAUAAAAUUCAAUAAUUAAAAAUCAAGAACAAAUUGUUUAAAAGGGGCCAUACAUUAAUUAAACUAACUUGGAUGGAUCUAUCGAAAUCUGUUUACCAACCAAAAACUUGGACUUUGCCGGAUCUAGCUUGGUCGGACUUUUUCUAAUCGUUGGAGUUGUUGUCAUUGUUCAAGGUCGAUGUCCUUAUCGGAUGAUGCAAGUGGUUGUCGAAGUUGAGUCACUCGUUGAGGUGCUGCAGUUGUUGGAAUUCGCUGCUCGGAGUUUGUUGUUAUUGCUCGUUGACAUCCAUCACUCCUUGACCAAGCAACUAUUGUUGCUAUUGUUCGCAAGGUGAGGAGAGAUCAAAGAGGAGAGAAAUGAGAAGGAGAGAGGUUCACCAUCUGUAGCUGCUGUCCAAUCUCUUCGCUCUUCGCCGAAAUCGAUAAAAAUAGAGUUAAAGGAGAAGAGAAGAGAGGAGAGGAGUUCUUGUGCUGCUCGUGGUGAGAUUUUUUCUUUUUUUGCCUUCUUUUUUUU